UACAGAGGUCUCAAGCGUUGUUUGGAUUCAUUGGGCGUAAAGGGUGCGUAGGCGGCGCGGUAAGUCGGGUGUGAAAUCUCGGGGCUUAACUCCGAAACUGCAUUCGAUACUGCCGUGAUUGAGGACUGGAGAGGAGACUGGAAUUUACGGUGUAGCGGUGAAAUGCGCAGAUAUCGGGAGGAACACCGGUGGCGAAGGCGGUUCUCUGGGCCUGUACUGACGCUGAGGAGCGAAAGCGUGGGGAGCGAACAGG
rnacentral:rRNA from 1 species